AAUAUUGCGCAAUGGAGGGAACUCUGACGCAGCGACCCCGCGUGAGCGAUGAAGGUUUUCGGAACGGAAAGCUCUGUCCCGGGGGAAGAAGGUCUUCGGUCUUUACGGUACCUAAGGAUCAUGCCCCUGCUAACUACGUGCCAGCAGCCGCGGUAAUACGUAGGGGGCAAGCGUUGUCCGGAAUUAUUAGGAGUAAAGGGUGCGUAGGCGGCCGUUUAAGUAAGAUGUUAGAGCCCGCGGCUUAACCGUGGGACUGCAUUUGAAACUGGAGGGCUUCAGUAUCGAAGAAGGUAGUGGAAUACCCAGUGUAGCGGUGGAAUGCGUAGAUAUUGGGAGGAACACCAGUGGCGAAGGCGACUACCUGGACGAAAACUGACGCUGAGGCACGAAAGCUAGGGGAGCAAACA
rnacentral:rRNA from 1 species